rnacentral:lncRNA from 1 species
AGAGUUAUUUUCUUUCAAUACUCGUAAGGGUUGUUAUUCCAUUCUUUAUUAUUCUGUUGGAAUAACCUGUCUGUGCGGUCUAUCGCAUGCCUGGUGAAUUCUGUUGUUAUUCCAUUCUUUAUUAUUCUAUUGGAACAUCCUGUCUAUGCGAAUUACGCAUGACCUGGUUCCAUUCUUUAUUAUUUUGUUGGAACAUCCUGUUUGUGCGGAUUACGUAUGACCUGGUUCCAUUCUUUAUUAUUCUGUUGGAAUAUCCUGUCUAUGCGGAUUACUCAUGACCUGGUUCCAUUCUUUAUUACUCUGUUGGAAUAACCUAUUUCUGUGGAUUACCGUAUGCAUGGUGAAUGAUCCUUUAUAUUCAUUCCUUAUUAACUUGUGGAAAUAAUCUGUCUACGUGGAUUAGCGCAUGGCGGGCGAAAAUCCAUUUGCAGUUUCAUAUAUUCUAUUAUACUCAGUUGGUUAAAGUUUUGGCUUCUAUACUCCAUGAAAUUAGUAGAAUAUCCUGGAUAUUAGCGCUUCAUCCAGUAUCUUUUCAUGGAAAUAUUAUUCAGAGCAUUCUUGAAUUUUACUCCACAAAGCAGUAUCAUGUUGACGAUUUAGACGUUAUUGAGUUCAGGAUAAAUUAACUUAUAAAUCUUUAAAAUUUAUUCUUAAACUUGUUUUAUUGAAUUGUCACCAUCCUCAUGCUUAUAUUAUGUUGAAAGUCAUCUGUGGCCUGUAGUACAUAGAUGGACUUGGUAUGAUUAUGACCAGGGAUUAUUCGGUAUAAUUAUGACCGUAAUUGAUACAAAUGAUGUGGAAAAAGUCCUCAUUGGCCCGUAGUGCAUUGAUGGAUAGUUUUUGGUAUGAUUAUGGCUAUGGAUUCUCUUCGGCCAAGGGUGCAAAGUUUAAUUAUUUUAUGGCAUGAUCAGGACCGUUGAUGAAAACACGAUUAUCUUUGGCCCGUAGUGCAUAGAUAAUUCAUGGUCGUGAUACUAAAGAAUAUCCUUGGCCUAUAGUGCAUGGAUGAUUUAAUUAUGUGGAUUAUUUAUUAAGCUGAGUCUCAGCGAUAAAAUUUAUGAUAAAUUCUUUUAAAUCAUAGAAGAUAGUAGAUUUUAUGCUCUACUUGACUCUUCUAAUGGAUUGCUUAUUCCGCUGCAAUUGUUGAUCUAAAACUUGUUGUCUAUUAUAUUCUAUCAUUUGUUAUACUGUUGAGGGCUAAGAAUAAUUUAUUCUGCAUUAUCUUAGUCAUAAUAUUUUUUACUGGGCUAGUUGAGCUCACCCUUUCUUUCAAUGUGUUAGUUCCCGGAGGCACAAUAGUUAUCUAGAGGGGGAGGGGGGUUGAAUAGAUAUUUAAAAAUCUUUUCGUUUUAACUUGUUAGUAAAUAAUGAUUAAAACUUUAGCGGAAUUAAUAUUAGUUUUAAUCUCCCUUAAGAUAGUGAGUUUAUGAGAAUGAGGCAGAUAUAGCAGAUAUAGCAGUUAUAGUAAGAAUGUAAGAGACACAGUCGUUUUAAGUGGUUCAGAGCACUUAAAGCUCCUAGUCCACUCUUCUACUCCUCGAGUAGAAAAUCCACUAAGGAUGUCUUUUACACUUUUUGAAUCACUUAGAUUCCUUCUAGACCAUCAGUCUAGGAACUUCUUAGUUCACUCUUGAACUCUUCAAGUCCUGCAGACUUGGCUCUUUUACAGUUCACUUAGAACUCUUCAUGUCCUUCUGACUUGGAACUUUUUCUUCAGUUGAUUGGUAGAUGUUGAGUUCUUGAUGGUUGCUACUCAGUUGCUGUUUAAGCACUUGUUCAAAAGAACUGAGUAGCUGAGCAAGCUUUUCUUUUUAUCAAAUCGUAGAGUUGAGCGUUGAGAGUUCUUGUACGUUUUUGUUCAAUGCUUGUUUACUUCUCUCAUCUGCUUGAUUUGCAGAUAUGUGAUCUUGAAAACUAUCCGUUUGAUCCAUCCGUUGAAGCAUUAAAUGUGUUUGACAUUUCUGUUCUUUGAUGGAGACUUUUCUGCACAUUUUCUGAAUUGCAUUCUGACCCACUGACACAGCAGACUGCUUUCUCACCUAACACCUGAAAAGGUGUUUUUCCCUUUACCAAUUAUACUUUCCUUAGCUUCUUCAAUACGCUUUUUUGUUGCAUACUAAGGAUAUCUUUUAUGCCUUUGGGACUGGUGAGUAUUACAAUGUUUAGAACCCAUUCCAUAUUUGUUGGAGUUUGUCUUCACACAAAACGUGAGGCUUGAUGCUUCUGACACAAGGCAGAUGAUACUCUACGAUUCAGAUCGUGGUGACUUGUCGCCUUGGUGCUUGGUCUGAUGCUAUCAGCAGAGAACACUACGAUUUCUCUUAAAUACUUGCACACUACAAUCUUCGUUUUCUUGACUUGUAAACUCUACGUUUCCGAGAGCACACUAUGAUCUCUAAGUUGGCUCGGCAAACGUUGGGACCACUCUACGAUUUCUGAAGAGGCCCUUCAAAGCAGGCACACUACGAUUCUCGAAGCUCCACGUUUUUGCCUUGACUUCUGCAAUCUUGAUCAGAUUGAUGCACUACGAAUUCUUCGAAGCCUAUCUAUUACAUCUCAAGAUCAACCUAACAGCUUUGAUCUUUCUAUCUAUACAUUCAUUUACAGAAUGAUACACAUUAAGAGCUUAGAUCAACCUAACAAAUUUGAUCUAUCACUAAGUCCUUGUACAUAUAUUCCUUGAAGGGCUUUACAAAUAAUCAUGAGCAUUUAUAUUUAAACAUCAAAUCAACAUAUGCAUUCUCCCAACACAAUGUUCUAUUCAGGAAAUGAGAAUAUAGCUGGGACUAGUCGGGGAAUGGAUUGACGGUUCAGAUGGUUGCAUUAAUAGUCCUCACUAUUCUGUGAAAUAGUGUGACAAUAAAUGUAUUGAGGACUCCAUUGAGUGUGGAUACUGUCUAGAAGAUAAUAUUUGUAUUAAAACUCACAGUUAUGUCUUGUCGUAUUCUACACGACAGAUGUAUAUUUAAGUUUGUAUUUGUAUUCUGUACCAUGUAUUUGGCGACUCAAGAUGGGUGAUGUAUACCUAUUUUGGGGGAGUCACAAUCAUUAUAUAAGAUCAAAGAGAGAGAAAGGUUACUAACUUGCUCAUUUUGCUACUAAUACUCAACUCACUUCUCUCUCAACUCAAACCUCUGAAAUUACCUUACUAGAUCAGUCACAAAACAAGCCCCACUAUCACUUAUAUCAAAUCAGAAAGUCAUAUUCAAGAAUUGAUCAUAGAAAGGAAUAAACCUAAACCAAAUUUUCAAUCUUGUAUGCUAUGUUAGAUGUUAUGUUUAAAUGUUUAAUUAUGUUAUAUAAGGUGUGAAUCAGUGAUCUGGGUUACUAAAUAGUGGAUCCAUAACAUUUAUAUGCUUGAAUCUAAGUUUUUACAAAAUCUGGGAAUUUUUCAAAAGUGGUCUGACAACCGAAUGUCAGACCACAUAGAUCCUUAUCUGGUUAUCACUUUUUUUGUUUAAAUGUUUGAACAUGUAGUAUGUUAGAAGGACUUUAAUUUGGACUUGAAAGAAUGCUUAGAUUAUGCACAGAUUUCAUGUUAUCGUUGGUCAAAGGCCGUUGACCGGCCAUGACUGGGCGUUUUUGGGUAACCCAGAAACUACCCAGAAAGGUCUGACAACAGAUUCAAGCAUCUGGAUCUUUCAGUUGUUUGUUGUGUUAUUCUUGUUGUUGUAUGAUAAUUGUAGUAUGUUGUAGGUACUACUAAUGCAUGCCUUUGUAUCACCUAAGCAUUAAAUAGAUAGAUCAUGGUGACUGGUUAAAAGUAGGUAGGGCGAACAUGAUUUCCAUUUUCUGGGUAACCCAGAAAACGUAUGCAUGUUAUUUCUGACAAGAUUUGACCGAAUGGUAUUCAGUCGUAUUUUGACUGACAUGAUGAAUGUUAAUUGUACCUUGUCGUGUAGACUACAUGUUUGACCCAUUAAACUACCAUAACAUCAACCGGAACCUAGAUUAAAUGGAGCUAGAAACAUCCUACUCGAAGCUGACUGGGUUUCUGGGUAACCCAGAAAACCUAGAAAGUUAUGACAACAAGUUUGAGGGGCUAGAUCUUCAUAAUACAUGAUUGUUUGACUUGUAGGAUAGUUGAUUCAUGUAGUAUUACCUUAUCACUACAUGAUUAGUGUUUAAAAUGUCCCAUAUCACGCUUAGGUUGUGAAUUAAAGACGAUCAAAGGGAGCCCCUUGAACACUAUCUUGUCAGUGUUCUUGAGCUCAAGAACACCAACAACGACAGAAAGUGUCGUUAUAGCCUAUAGCGACGGUUUCUAUUAUUUUCGUUUUCUAAUUUCCGGAAAAUGAUUAAAAAUAGAAAUAAAUUCUAAAAAUCAUUUAAAAAUAGUAAAUAAAUUCCAAAAAUUAUAAAAUCAGUUUUAAUAAUUUGG